AUGAAGACCUUCCUCAUCUUUGCCCUCCUUGCCGUUGCAGCGACAAGUGCCAUUGCACAAAUGGAGACUAGCCACAUCCCUGGCUUGGAGAAACCAUCGCAACAACAACCAUUACCACUACAACAAAUAUUAUGGUACCACCAACAGCAACCGAUCCAACAACAACCACAACCAUUUCCACAACAGCCACCAUGUUCACAGCAACAACAACCACCAUUAUCGCAGCAACAACAACCACCAUUUUCACAGCAACAACCACCAUUCUCGCAGCAAGAACUACCAAUUCUACCGCAACAACCACCAUUUUCGCAGCAACAACAACCACAAUUUUCGCAGCAACAACAACCAUUCCCGCAGCAACAACAACCACUUCUACUGCAACAACCCCCAUUUUCACAACAACGACCACCAUUUUCUCAGCAGCAGCAACAACCAGUUCUACCGCAACAACCACCAUUUUCGCAACAGCAACAACAACAACCAAUUCUACCGCAACAACCACCUUUUUCGCAACACCAACAACCGGUUCUUCCGCAACAACAAAUACCAUAUGUUCAGCCAUCUAUCUUGCAGCAGCUAAACCCAUGCAAGGUAUUCCUCCAGCAGCAAUGCAGCCCUGUGGCAAUGCCACAAAGUCUUGCUAGGUCGCAAAUGUUGUGGCAGAGCAGUUGCCAUGUGAUGCAGCAACAAUGUUGCCAGCAGCUGCCGCGAAUCCCCGAACAAUCACGCUAUGAUGCAAUCCGUGCCAUCAUCUACUCGAUCGUCCUACAAGAACAACAACAUGGUCAGGGUUUCAACCAACCUCAGCAGCAACAACCCCAACAGUCGGUCCAAGGUGUCUCCCAACCCCAACAACAACAGAAGCAGCUCGGACAGUGUUCUUUCCAACGACCUCAACAACAACAACUGGGUCAAUGGCCUCAACAACAACAGGUACCACAGGGUACCUUGUUGCAGCCACACCAAAUAGCUCAACUUGAGUUGAUGACUUCCAUUGCACUCCGUACCCUGCCAAUGAUGUGCAGUGUCAACGUGCCGGUGUACGGCACCACCACUAGUGUGCCAUUCGGCGUUGGCACCCAAGUUGGUGCCUACUGAUAA
rnacentral:rRNA from 1 species